rnacentral:rRNA from 1 species
GACGAACGCUGGCGGCGUGCCUAAUACAUGCAAGUAGGACGCAGUUGCGAACGGGUGAGUAACGCGUAGGUAACUACCUAUUAGAGGGGGAUAAAUAUUGGAAACGAUAGCUAAUACCGCAUACUAGGAGAUGGACCUGCGUUGUAUUAGCUAGGAGGUAGGGUAAUGGCCUACCUAGGCAACGCUACAUAGCCGACCUGAGAGGUGGGUCGGACAAACCGGGAAGGAGACACGGACCAGACUCCUACGGGGGGCAGCAGUAGGGAAUCUUCGGAAAUGGGGGGAACCCUGACCGAGCAACGCCGCGUGAGUGAAGAAGGUGUUCGGAUCGUAAAGCUCUGUUGUUAAGGAAGCGGUACUUAACCAGAAAGGGACGGCUAACUACGUGCCAGCAGCCGCGGUAAUAC